rnacentral:rRNA from 1 species
ACGAAAGCUGUGCUAAUACCGCAUAAUGCAGCUGGGUCGCAUGACUCUGGCUGCCAAAGAUUUAUCGCUCUGAGAUGGCCUCGCGGCCGAUUAGCUAGAUGGCGGGGUAACGGCCCACCAUGGCGACGAUCGGUAGCCGGACUGAGAGGUUGAACGGCCACAUUGGGACUGAGACACGGCCCAGACUCCUACGGGAGGCAGCAGUGGGGAAUAUUGCACAAUGGAGGAAACUCUGAUGCAGCGACGCCGCGUGAGGGAAGAAGAUUUUCGGAUUGUAAACCUCUGUCUUCGGGGACGAUAAUGACGGUACCCGAGGAGGAAGCCACGGCUAACUACGUGCCAGCAGCCGCGGUAAUACGUAGGUGGCAAGCGUUGUCCGGAAUUACUGGGUGUAAAGGGAGCGCAGGCGGGUGUGCAAGUUGGAUGUUUAAACUAUGGGCUCAACCCAUAGGUGCAUUCAAAACUGCAUAUCUUGAGUGGUGCAGAGGCAGGCGGAAUUCCCGGUGUAGCGGUGGAAUGCGUAGAUAUCGGGAGGAACACCAGUGGCGAAGGCGGCCUGCUGGGCACUAACUGACGCUGAGGCUCGAAAGCAUGGGUAGCAAACAGGAUUAGAUACCCUGGUAGUCCAUGCCGUAAACGAUGAUUACUAGGUGUGGGGAGAUUGACCCUCUCCGUGCCGCAGUUAACACAAUAA